UUUCCUGUAGUAAAGAAAAGUAAACGGGUAGGUUAAUUGUGAAUAUAAAGUAUUUAAGGGAUUUUUAUAAAUGUAUUCAUAAAAUAAUAUAAAGAUGUGCCUUUCCACAAAAUGUGAUCCUUUUCAGGUUUAUUAUGAAAGGUCAAAUUGUGUUCCAGGUCAGUGAAACCCUUCAGGAUAUAGUACUCAGGAAAUAUUUUAUGACUUGACUUGGCAAUGAAAAAGGGCUGAUUUGGAGAAAUGGGAAUGGCCAACAUAAGCACAGAAGCUGUACCCCAGAAAAAAGGAUUAGAAGGACAAAGAUCAGAUAAAUGAGCAGACAGGGUCCUGUUGUGGGUUCCAGCAGAGGGACCUAGAGGUGACACUGAAUACAUGAUUUCUGUCUGAGUCUUCAAGGUCUGUAGAAAUGUUAGAUGCAUCCGGUGGCUCAUUUGGGAAACAGCCCUGAGGAGAAAACUCUCAGUUUUCAAAAAAAAAAUAGAAAGAGAAAAAGAAGAGAAAGAAGAAGAGAGAUGACAAAAAGGCCGAAGUGUAAGAAAAAGGACCCAGGGACAGGUGCCAGCUCGGCCGGCCGGAGGUUGGCUGGAGGGGAAGGUUAGAGAUUUCCUUUCCCACCACCCAGACAGUGCCACUGGCAAGGACAUUGGGAUCUUGGAUCGAUCCCAAACGCCCCGGAAAACUGGGUCGCUUUCGCCCUAGCUAACCUUGAAUUCAAGUCAAUCCUCCAGCGUCAGCCUCUCAAGUGCUUGCCCGCAGGUGUGUACCACUCAUGCCCAUUCCAUAAAUGGAACGUUCAGUGACUAUGAGGCACUGGUCACUGCUACCGCUUUAUUCUGCUCAGCCAGCCUCAGCAGCAUCCUGGAGAGACCAGCUCUGCUACUCCGCCUGGAGCCCACCCUCCUGACCUCGAACUUCAGCUACAGAGUGAGACCACACCCUUCCCGUCCACAGGGCAGUGAUGUAAAUGUGGUGUGGAAGAGACUAGGAGGACCUAGCCCAGAGCCUCCUGCAGGGGGAAGUGGCCAUCAAUGGUGGCCUUUAUGGUGGCUGGCCUCGGAUGGGACUGGGAAGGAGUCAGAGCUUGGGAACAGAGGGAGCUAUUGUAUGAGGGAGCGGGGUGCUCCCUGAAGAGAGCAGCAAGAGUCCUCACCCGCCAGACCCUUGCUGGCCCUACUUCAUUAUUUGUAGUGGCAUUCGCCCAUCAGCCUGGGAGUCCGUGGAGGGAACUCUACCAGCACAGCAGCCGCCACAUUUUCCCAUACCCUGGAUUUGCCCGCUUCCAUCCAAGAUUAACCACCUUCCACUGUGCGAACAUUGUCUCAGACAGCAUUCGCGAUGUGGCCUCAGAGCAGAUAAAGGGCUGUUCAUUGUCACUGCAGAAGGAAAUGGGGGAAGGUCCCUCCAGCGUGCCCUGCUAGAGAUGACAACUGGGUGCGCCUCCUCAUUCCGUGACCUCUUGACCUUAGCCACCCGUGGGAGAAUUUACACCAUGGAAAGAGGCCAAUGCCGUAGCCCAGGACAAGCUGCAGAAGCAUUUAUCAGCACAAUCACUGUCCCCAAGGAAUUGGAAAUGGUGACUUGGUCCUGAACACCCCACUUAGGGCAUCAGAUUGGUUUCCUGUGCAGGAGGCCAGGUGUGAGAGAAGGGUUAGGGGGAUAGCACCCUCUACCCUAACAAGCCGAGGGUCCCUACUCCCAAGCCUCAUUUCCUGCCAGCCAGCUGGACCCCGGAUGUUUCUGAGAGCUGACCUUGACCCUCCCUGCUGAUGAAGGCUGGAGCUAUAGUGGAAGGAAAUUCGACACGCCAGGAAUGGCUCCCUCCAAAGGACACAGGCUCAAGAAGCCUUCUGCCCAACCCGGCUGAGGGCAGAACUGGAUCAGAACUGAAUCCUUGAGAUGACUUCUCUCACAGGGGCAGAGACAACUUUGAGUCACUCUGGCUGUCAGACCCUUAUUAAUAUCUGCUAUGUUUGCAGAUUCCAUCUUCGUAAGUCACUUUGUGAUAAAGUGGCUUCCUGCGGCCGGCUCAUCUGGACGCAGUAAUGUUUUCAUUGAUCUGCUGAUGCGUGCAUCCUGCUGCACCGGAUGGAAGGCUGCCUCUAACAGCCGGAUUCUCGGGUAUCAAAUUCCAGGAACAGCUCCAAGGCCAGGCACCUCUGACACUCCCAUUGUCAGUGAGCUCAGCCGUGGGCUGCAGAGGUAGGUCUGUGAAGGCCUUCCAGUACAACCGGCCUCCUACUCCUAGGUGUCCCUUGCCUCUGGACUCUGUGUCCAACACAGUGCCUGGUACCAUAAGGUGCUUUAUUGCCACCAGUGCAGUCAACAUGCAAUAGAUGACAAAUGACUCUGGCUUAGGCAGGAUGGAUGACUUCAAAAUAGUUCACAGACCUCAGAUCACAUUACUGUGAGUCUGUCUGUCUGUCUGUCUGUCUGUCUGUCUGUCUAUCUAUCUAUCUAUCUAUCUAUCUCUCCUUCUCCCUCACCCUCCAUCACCCUCUCUCAUAAGAAAAAAGUAAAAAACAGCUCAUGGAUGUGUUUCUAUACCUGCGUUUGACAAAUGUUUUGUGUGCUAAGAUAGCUCAGCGGUGUGCAGGGGCAGCUUCUAUGGUCUGGAGUGGGGCCUUUCCAGAUUCUGGAUAUGUUCAAGGGGCUACCAGGGCCUGGAUUCUAGAACAAGAAAAGAUGGCUGUGGCUAGUAAGCCCCUCCCACAUGGCUGUGCAUACCAGGAAACAACCCAGGCUUCAUUCUGCUGUGCUCUCUGACUGGUAGACCACUCUCUGUGGUACCACCCUUUGUGGGACAGCAAAGGGUGCCCGUUCUAGCCAGCAUCAGUCAUCUUUCUUCAUUGCUAUGACACCUGACAGACCUGAUUUAAAGGGGGAGAAAUCUAUUUCAGCUCACAGUUUUGAGGGUAAGACCCAGCAGGGCAGGUGAAUCAUGGUAUUGAGAGCUACUCUGUGAUGGCAAGAGCUUACAGCUGCUGCUGCUUCACAUCUUGGUGGACCAGGAAGUAGAACGAAGACCAGUUCCCAAUGACUCAUUCCUGUUAAUCAGCCGAGGGUCACAUUCAAACUAUACCGGUGUAGACCAGUGUCCUAGAACCUUUUGGUUAUGUUUUCUUAUUACUCCAGAAAGUUCUGGAACUUUGUUCUGGGUCCCCAUUGCUAGGGAACAAGCCACCCCCAAACUGGGGAGGUUUGAGAAGACAGAGCAUGCAAGACCUAUUGUGGGGUGAGGCUCUGGUUUAUUCAAAGGUGCACUGUCCCUCCUGAGGUGCUCUCUUCUCUCUCCUUCCUACUGCCUGUCUUGGCAGCAACAGGACAGGGCCAUGCCAGGUUAGCCUCCUGUGACUUUUAGGGCAUGCUAUUCUCAAGGGCUGUGGGACUCUUAACUGCCUGCUUGAGGCUGUGUAAGUCCCAUUGUCCUGGUGAACAAGGGACAAGCUGUGUGACUCCUGGUGACCCAGCCCGGGACUCUGAAAGCAUGCUUUCCUUGGACUUCAUUGGCCAAUGUCAUCAUGGGAGAGCUAGGGAGUCUGUCUCUCUAAGUUUCGUGGCAAAGAAUUGAGCAGUGAUCUGGGUUAGGCAGACAGGAGGAAGUAGGGAAGCCCUUUCCCCUUGGCCGCUUUCUUUUCCUGUCUCCUCUCUCAGUUGGGGCACAUCUCUUAUCCUCAGCUUUUCUGCUCUUGAGAUCCUCGAAUAGGAAGAGCAUCCCCUUUCUGGGGAAGCAAACUCAGAGUGGGGGAUGUCAGACAGUUAGAAACAAUAAGCACUAUAGCACUUGUGCCUCGUGGCCCACCGGGUCCCUGGUACAGAGAUGGGAUCACAAAGUGUGACAAACACUCUUGGCCUGUAGGCUCCCACCCACUGACUUGCGACACUCGGACAAAGACUCAGCUUGACUUGGUGGUAGGAGUAUGUACCUACAGUAUAUACCAGCUACAUGAAAUACUGACCACCAUGCUUAAUACUGAUUGCCAGUGCAAUCUGAUCUUCGCAUGACUUGGGAGGGACUUUCUAGACUGAGUCAAUUGAGGUCAGAAGACCCAUUCUGAAUGUGACUGGCACCGUCCCAUGGGCUGUUUCUAGGCUGACUGAAAAGGAGAAGUCAAGUUGCAUGCCCGAAUUCGUCUCUCCUCAGUGCUUCCUGACGGCAGAUGCAAAGCGUCCAUCCAGCUGCCUCUUUCUGCUACACAGCAUACCUUCCCUGCCGAGAUGGACUGUCCACUCAACAUAUGAGGAAGAGAAGCUCUUUCCCGGCAAGUCGCUUCUAUCAAGAAUUAUAUCGGGGGCUGGAGAGAUGGCUCAGAGGUUAAGAGCACUGUCUGCUCUUCCAGAGGUCCUGAGUUCA
rnacentral:sRNA from 1 species